rnacentral:rRNA from 1 species
AUCUCAAAUCAGGUAGGACUACCCGCUGAACUUAAGCAUAUCAAUAAACCGGAGGAA